rnacentral:rRNA from 1 species
GACGAACGCUGGCGGCGUGCUUAACACAUGCAAGUCGAACGGAAAGGCCCUGCUUUUGUGGGGUGCUCGAGUGGCGAACGGGUGAGUAACACGUGAGUAACCUGCCCUUGACUUUGGGAUAACUUCAGGAAACUGGGGCUAAUAUCGGAUAGGAUCUCCUGCUGCAUGGUGGGGGUUGGAAAGUUUCGGCGGUUGGGGAUGGACUCGCGGCUUAUCAGCUUGUUGGUGGGGUAGUGGCUUACCAAGGCUUUGACGGGUAGCCGGCCUGAGAGGGUGACCGGCCACAUUGGGACUGAGGUACGGCCCAGACUCCUACGGGAGGCAGCAGUGGGGAAUAUUGCACAAUGGGCGGAAGCCUGAUGCAGCAGCGCCGCGUGCGGGAUGACGGCCUUCGGGUUGUGAACCGCUUUCGCCUGUGACGAAGCGUGAGUGACGGUAAUGGGUAAAGAAGCACCGGCUAACUACGUG